AGUGAACGCUGGCGGUAGGCCUAACACAUGCAAGUCGAACGGCAGCACAGUAAGAGCUUGCUCUUACGGGUGGCGAGUGGCGGACGGGUGAGGAAUACAUCGGAAUCUACUUUUUCGUGGGGGAUAACGUAGGGAAACUUACGCUAAUACCGCAUACGACCUACGGGUGAAAGCAUGGGAUCUUCGGACCUUGCGCGAUUGAAUGAGCCGAUGUGGGAUUAGCUAGUUGGCGGGGUAAAGGCCCAACAAGGCGAGGAUCCGUAGCUGGUCUGGGAGGAUGAUCAGCCACACUGGAACUGGGACACGGUCCAGACUCCUACGGGAGGCAGCAGUGGGGAAUAUUGGACAAUGGGCGCAAGCCUGAUCCAGCCAUACCGCGUGGGUGAAGAAGGCCUUCGGGUUGUAAAGCCCUUUUGUUGGGAAAGAAAAGCAGCAGGUUAAUACCCCGCUGUUCUGACGGUACCCAAAGAAUAAGCACCGGCUAACUUCGUG
rnacentral:rRNA from 1 species